rnacentral:tRNA from 1 species
GUUUUUAUAGUGUAAGUUAAACAUAUUAUAUUUUCAUUAUAAAGCUGAAAAAAAUUUUUCUAAAAACU